AAAAAAUUAGUUAAUAUAUAACAUUAAUUUGUCAAAUUAAAAUAAAUAUAAUUUAUUAUUUUUUA
rnacentral:tRNA from 1 species